GGUCAAGCUACAAAGGGCGCAUGGUGAAUGCCUUGGCAUCAGGAGCCGAUGAAGGACGUGAUAAGCUGCGAUAAGCUUCGGGUAGGCGCACAUAGCCAGAGAUCCGGAGAUUUCCGAAUGGGGAAACCCGCAUGAGAAACCUCAUGCAUCGUAAAGUGAAUACAUAGCUUUAUGAAGGAACACCUAGGGAACUGAAACAUCUAAGUACCUAGAGGAAGAGAAAGAAAAAUCGAUUUUCUUAGUAGCGGCGAGCGAAAAGGAAAGAGCCCAAACCAGAGAUUUAUCUUUGGGGUUGCGGACAGAACAUAACGUGAAAUUAUGAUUAACCGAACACAACUGGAAAGUUGGACCGUAGGAGGUAAUAGUCCUGUAAGUAAAAGUCAUAAUGAUCAGUUCUGCACCAGAGUACCACGAGACACGUGAAACCUUGUGGGAAGCAGGGAGGACCACCUCCCAAGGCUAAAUACUACCUGAUGACCGAUAGUGAAGCAGUACCGUGAGGGAAAGGUGAAAAGAACCCCGGGAGGGGAGUGAAAUAGAACCUGAAACCAUGUGCCUACAACCGAUCAAAGCACCUUAUGUGUGUGAUGAUGUGCUUUUUGUAGAACGAGCCAACGAGUUACGGUAUGUAGCGAGGUUAAGUACUUAAGGUACGGAGCCGAAGGGAAACCGAGUCUUAAUAGGGCGACUAGUUGCAUGCUGUAGACCCGAAACCGGGUGACCUAUCCAUGGCCAGGUUGAAGCGAGGGUAAAACCUCGUGGAGGACCGAACCACGUUGCUGUUGAAAAAGCAUGGGAUGAGCUGUGGAUAGCGGAGAAAUUCCAAUCGAACUCGGAUAUAGCUGGUUCUCCUCGAAAUAGCUUUAGGGCUAGCGUCGUGAAAUGUGAGUACUGGAGGUAGAGCACUGAAUAGGCUAGGGGGCAUAGCGCUUACCGAACCUUAUCAAACUCCGAAUGCCAGAUACUAUCAGCACGGCAGUCAGACUAUGAAAGAUAAGUUCCAUGGUCAAAAGGGAAACAGCCCAGAUCGUCAGCUAAGGUCCCAAAGUGUAAGUUAAGUGGAAAAGGAUGUGGGAUUUCUAAGACAACUAGGAUGUUGGCUUAGAAGCAGCCACUCAUUAAAAGAGUGCGUAAUAGCUCACUAGUCAAGAGAUCCUGCGCCGAAAAUGUCCGGGGCUCAAACUUACCACCGAAGCUACGGGUUCACACUUAUGUGUGAGCGGUAGAGGAGCGUCGUAAUCGGGCUGAAGUCGUACCGUAAGGAGCGGUGGACUGAUUACGAGUGAGAAUGUUGGCAUUAGUAGCGAGAUGUAGGUGAGAAUCCUACAGGCCGAAUAUCUAAGGUUUCCUGAGUAAAGUUUGUCUUCUCAGGGUUAGUCGGGACCUAAGGCGAGGCCGAGAGGCGUAGUCGAUGGACAAUUGGUUGAUAUUCCAAUACCACUAUAAUCGUUAUUAUCGAUGGUGU
rfam:Clostridium butyricum E4 str. BoNT E BL5262 CLP.Contig64, whole genome shotgun sequence.